UGGGGAAUAUUGGGCAAUGGAUGCAAGUCUGACCCAGCCAUGCCGCGUGCCGGAUGAAGGCCCUCAGGGUUGUAAACGGCUUUUAUUCGGGAAGAAGAGCAGGGAUGCGUCCUUGUGUGACGGUACCGAAUGAAUAAGCACCGGCUAACUCCGUGCCAGCAGCCGCGGUAAUACGGAGGGUGCGAGCGUUGUCCGGAUUUAUUGGGUUUAAAGGGUGCGUAGGUGGCUUUAUAAGUCAGUGGUGAAAUACAGCCGCUUAACGGUUGAGGUGCCAUUGAUACUGUAGAGCUUGAAACAAUUGGAGGCUGCCGGAAUGGAUGGUGUAGCGGUGAAAUGCAUAGAUAUCAUCCAGAACACCGAUUGCGAAGGCAGGUGGCUACGUUUGAUUUGACACUGAGGCACGAAAGCAUGGGGAGCAAAC
rnacentral:rRNA from 1 species